GCGCUAGCAGUCUAGAGGUUUUUGAUAAGAACAUAGCACAGUCAAAAGAUUGUCAUCGUAAUGCAACCAUUCAUAUCUAUAGCCAUAAUCAAAAGUAUCAUAGUCUUCAUAAACUAUCAACAUAAAUAUUUACCUACGUUUACGAGGUUAGUAUAGUUUUAUUGUGUGAUUAAAUUUUUAAUACUUGUCGGUUAAAUUGUCUACUGUACUGUUUUAACUUUUAAUUGUGGUUUUCUUAUUGUAACAAUGACAAGAAUAUGUGUUGUUUGUAAAAAAUUGUAUACUAAGGGAUCAGAGAAAUCAUUUCAUUUUUUUCCUAAAAAUGAAGAUCGUAAACAAUUUUGGUUAAAAGUGUGUAAUAUGAAAUUGUACUUGCCAUCUUACAAGAUAUGUGAUGGUCAUUUUUUGCCGGAACAUUACCUACCAAGUGAAUAUCUCUAAAAUAAUGCUAUUCCUAGCAUCUACUAGUAUAGUUAUUGAACCUUUGGACAAUCAUGAUAUGUCUAGUCCUUGUCAAAGUCCAAUGAAACGUAAGGUGUUGAAUGCCAACUCAAUUGGAGUUUUUAUCACCAAGUCAUUUUAGAACUCUGAGAAAGGCAAAGAGACAUUUGGACAUGGUGAUGAACAAAUAUAGAGAAAAGCAAAUACAAAAUGAAAAAUCUGAAAAACAAAUAAAAAAGGCUGAAAAAAAAACUCAAUGAUGAUUUUGUUCAAACAUGACACCGAAAACAAUUUUUAACUGACAAUGCAUCUGUUCACUUUCAGGUAAAUUGUUGAUCUCUUAUAUACUUUUAUAUUCUUUUUGAAAUGAUAUGAGACCUCGGUGGCUAACUUGUGUACAUGGGUAUGACGCGUGACUUCACUACACAGCAAGCUGUAAUGAUAUGCUCAUAUAUCAUAAUUGUAUAUUUAAUUAUUCUAUAAAAUAAAUAACAGUAAAGUUGUUGCACGCAGAUAACCGUUAAUAAAAUCUAAUAAUCACUGAUGAAGGAAACAAUUUAUAUUGUUUGGUCACAUAGGAACUCACACAUAGUUGUGAAAAUGUAGCACAAAACGUGUGAUCUAUUUUGUGGGCUGUCAGAGACAAGGGAUGGCCCAAUAAGCAUCUCUGUUGUCGGGGAGAAAGCCAAUUUUUUUAAGGACGCGGAGACCUUUGAUGGAGCCACCUGCGACACUGGCAGGCUUGACCACGUCAUCUCCUCUUAUCAGUGCAGGUGCACCGCUCUUUCAAGAGUGCACAGAUAGUAUAAGCUAUAACAUGUAUAUUUUAUUUUAAAAAUACUAUAUGUAUUUUAUAAAUAAUUAUUUAUAUACAUCUUGUAUUGUACUAUCAUAUAAUGUUUACUGUGUUUUAAUAAAUUGUGAAAUUUUACCUACAAUAAUAAAUGUUAAAUAAUUUUAA